CCCUUAGAUGUUCUGGGCCGCACGCGUGCUACACUGAGUGGAUCAGCGGGUCAGGUUGCGCGAAAGCGUUUCCUAAUCUUUAAAUCCGCUCGUGAUGGGGAUUGACGGUUGCAAUUUUCUGUCAUGAACGAGGAAUACCUUGUAAGCGCGGGUCAUCAUCCCGCGCUGAAUACGUCCCUGCCCUUUGUACACACCGCCCGUCGCUCCUACCGAUUGAGUGGUCCGGUGAGGCUUUGGGAUCUGAGCGGAAAGAGCGUUUCGCUGUUUCUGCUCGGAAAACUCAGUCGAACCUUAGCAUUUAGAGGAAGGAGAAGUCGUAACA
rnacentral:rRNA from 1 species